GACAGAGGAUGCAAGCGUUAUCCGGAAUGAUUGGGCGUAAAGCGUCUGUAGGUGGCUUUUCAAGUCCGCCGUCAAAUCCCAGGGCUCAACCCUGGACAGGCGGUGGAAACUACCAAGCUGGAGUACGGUAGGGGCAGAGGGAAUUUCCGGUGGGGCGGUGAAAUGCAUUGAGAUCGGAAGGAACGCCGGUGGCGAAAGCGGCUUACUGGUCCGGUUCUGACGCUGAGGCGCGAAAGCGUGAGGAGCAAACAGG
rnacentral:rRNA from 1 species